AUGGUCAUGAGUUGUGUUGUUCCUACGGUCGUCGUCUUCUCCUCCACCACCUGCUCCUUCUGUGUCUGUGACUCCACAACAAGCAUGCCCUACACCUUAAUCAUCCCCUCUUCUCCUCCUGUGAUUCAGCUGAUUCUUGAAUAGACCCACUUACCCUUGACGACACAUAUUUUACCUAGCUGGCCCUUGUAAUUUCUAAACAGUCCAUAUACCUAUCUUGAUAACACACUUGUCAGUCUUGCAUGUUUUUUCCCAAUAUUACAGUAUGCAGAUCCCCAAUCCAAGGCGGAUCACUAACAGUCCCAUAGAUUCUAGUUCAUGCCAAUCCCAAUCCCAAAUCCAAUAUUCUUCCUAUCCUCUAGAAUUUAGCAUCAAGCCCCUCACAACUACUUUUGAACCCCAUGAAAACCCUUCUCUUAGUAGAAGCUGCUCUUCCGCCUCCAUUGAUACGAUGAUCUCCGACUUGUUUUCCUCGACCUCCUCGUCCUCCGCCUCCUUCGACUCACUAUUAAUGUCUGGGGACGACAUUGGCAUGGUCCUGUGUCGACGUUCUAAGUGACGAUGAUUUG
rnacentral:sRNA from 1 species